UUACCAAAUUUAAAAUAAGAUCGGUUUUAAAAGGUCUUUAAUUACAAAUAAUCCCAAUUUGCUCAUACUAUUCAACCUUUCUGAGGCACCCUGUCCYCCUGGCACAUGCGCAUUUAAAUGCUAUUGAUUAUGGUAAACAAUUAUUAUUGUGGGAAGGUUAUGCAAUUCUGAUUAGAUAAGCAUUAUCUAAUCGUGGCUGGUUAAAGCCAAUCAGCUCUGAGCUCUGCAGCCCCUUCACCCUCCUCCUCUUCCUCAGCAGGUCGCUGCUGCUUCUCUGGCUCAUAAGUAUCACAUCGGUCAGCUGUGUUUGCUAUUACAACAGCUGCUCACAAAGUGAA